rnacentral:rRNA from 1 species
CGCGGCCUAUCAGCUUGUUGGCGGGGUAACGGCCCACCAAGGCUACGACGGGUAGCUGGUUUGAGAGAACGAUCAGCCACACUGGAACUGAGACACGGUCCAGACUCCUACGGGAGGCAGCGGUGGGGAAUCUUGCGCAAUGGGCGAAAGCCUGACGCAGAAACGCCGCGUGCGGGAGGAAGGCCUUCGGGUUGUAAACCGCUUUCAGCAGGGACGAAAAUGACGGUACCUGCAGAAGAAGCCCCGGCUAACUACGUGCCAGCAGCCGCGGUAAUACGUAGGGGGCAAGCGUUGUCCGGAUUUAUUGGGCGUAAAGAGCUCGUAGGCGGUUCCGUAAGUUGAGAGUCAAAUCUCUGGGCUCAACCCAGAGCCGCUCUCAAUACUGCGGUGACUCGAGUCCGGUAGAGGAGUGUGGAAUUCCUGGUGUAGCGGUGAAAUGCGCAGAUAUCAGGAGGAACACCAACGGCGAAGGCAGCACUCUGGGCCGGUACUGACGCUGAGGAGCGAAAGCGUGGGGAGCGAACAGGAUUAGAUACCCUGGUAGUCCACGCCGUAAACGUUGGGCACUAGGUGUGGGGAGGAAUCAACCCUUUCCGUGCCGUAGCUAACGCAUUAAGUGCCCCGCCUGGGGAGUACGG